rnacentral:rRNA from 1 species
AACAGGAUUAGAUACCCUGGUAGUCCACGCCCUAAACGAUGUCUACUAGUUGUUGGUGGAGUAAAAUCCAUGAGUAACGCAGCUAACGCGUGAAGUAGACCGCCUGGGGAGUACGGUCGCAAGAUUAAAACUCAAAUGAAUUGACGGGGGCCCGCACAAGCGGUGGAUUAUGUGGAUUAAUUCGAUGCAACGCGAAAAACCUUACCUGGCCUUGACAUGUAACGAACUUUCCAGAGAUGGAUUGGUGCUCGAAAGAGAACGUUAACACAGGUGCUGCAUGGCUGUCGUCAGCUCGUGUCGUGAGAUGUUGGGUUAAGUCCCGCAACGAGCGCAACCCUUGCCAAUAAUUGCCAUCAUUUAGUUGGGCACUUUAUUGGGACUGCCGAUGACAAAUCGGAGGAAGGUGGGGAUGACGUCAAGUCCUCAUGGCCCUUAUGGCCAGGGCUUCACACGUAAUACAAUGGUCGGUACAGAGGGUUGCCAAGCCGCAAGGUGGAGCCAAUCCCAGAAAGCCGAUCGUAGUCCGGAUUGAGGUCUGCAACUCGACCUCAUGAAGUCGGAAUCGCUAGUAAUCGCGGAUCAGCAUGUCGCGGUGAAUACGUUCCCGGGCCUUGUACAAACCGCCCGUCACACCAUGGGAGUGGGUUUUACCAGAAGUAGGUAGUCUAACCGCAAGGAGGACGCUUACCACGGUAGUAUUCAUGACUGGGGUGAAGUCGUAACAAGGUAACC